AGCGAACGCUGGCGGCAGGCCUAAUACAUGCAAGUCGAACGGCUCUUCGGAGCAGUGGCGGACGGGUGAGUAACGCGUGGGAACGUGCCCUUUGGUUCGGAACAACACAGGGAAACUUGUGCUAAUACCGGAUGAGCCCUUUGGGGGAAAGAUUUAUCGCCAUUGGAGCGGCCCGCGUUGGAUUAGCUAGUUGGUGGGGUAAUGGCCCACCAAGGCGACGAUCCAUAGCUGGUCUGAGAGGAUGAUCAGCCACACUGGGACUGAGACACGGCCCAGACUCCUACGGGAGGCAGCAGUAGGGAAUCUUGCGCAAUGGGCGAAAGCCUGACGCAGCCAUGCCGCGUGAAUGAUGAAGGUCUUAGGAUUGUAAAAUUCUUUCACCGGGGAAGAUAAUGACGGUACCCGGAGAAGAAGCCCCGGCUAACUUCGUGCCAGCCGCCGCCGUAACAC
rnacentral:rRNA from 1 species